UCAAAAACUAGGUCAAAUAGUAGAAAAACCUCGUGUAGACAGUAGAGGUCACAGUUUUUAUCCAAUCUUUAUGAAAUUUGGUCAGAAUGUUUAUCUUGAUUAAAUCUGGGUUGGGAUUGUAUUUGGGUCAUCUGGGGUCAAAAACUAGGUCACUAGGUCAAAUAAUAGAAAAACCUUGUGUAGACAAUAGAGGUCACAGUUUUCAUCCAAUCUUUAUAAAAUUUGAUCAGAAUGUUUAUCUUGAUGAAAUCUGGGUUGGGAU